rnacentral:tRNA from 1 species
GAGGGUAUAGCUCAAGUGGUAGAGCACAUGCUUAGCAUGCAUGAGGUCCUGGGUUCAAUCCCGAGUACCGCCU